rnacentral:rRNA from 1 species
UACAUGGGGUGCAAACGUUGCUCGGAAUUAUUGGGCGUAAAGCGCACGUAGGUGGUCGCUUAAGUCGGAUGUGAAAGCCCUCGGCUCAACUGAGGAAGUGCAUCCGAAACUGAGUGGCUAGAGUAUGGAAGAGGGUCGCGGAAUUCCCGGUGUAGAGGUGAAAUUCGUAGAUACCGGGAGGAACACCGGUGGCGAAGGCGGCGACCUGGGCCAAUACUGACACUGAGGUGCGAAAGCGUGGGGAGCAAACAGG